rnacentral:tRNA from 4 species
GCUCCCGUAUGCUCUCUGGUGAGGCAGCCUGAUUGUCGAUCAGGUGAGGGCGGGUUCGAAUCCCCCCGGGGGCG